rnacentral:rRNA from 1 species
UACAGAGGUCUCGAGCGUUGUUCGGAUUCAUUGGGCGUAAAGGGUGCGUAGGUGGCGCUGUAAGUCGGGUGUGAAAUCCUGAGGCUUAACCUCGGAACUGCAUUCGAUACUGCGGCGCUUGAGGACUGGAGAGGAGACUGGAAUUCAUGGUAUAGCAGUGAAAUGCGUAGAGAUCAUGAGGAAGACCAGUGGCGAAGGCGGGUCUCUGGACAUCGUUCCUGACACUGAGGCACGAAGGCCAGGGGAGCAAACGGG